AUUGAACGCUGGCGGCAGGCCUAACACAUGCAAGUCGAGCGAGCGGCGGACGGGUGAGUAAUGUAUGGGGACUGCCCGAUAGAGGGGGAUAACUACUGGAAACGGUGGCUAAUACCGCAUACUAUCGUAUGACCCAUAGGGGAUUAGCUAGUAGGUGGGGUAAAGGCUCACCAAGGCGAAGAUCUCUCGCUGGUCUGAGAGGAUGACCCGCCACACUGGGACUGAGACACGGCCCAGACUCCUACGGAGGGAGCAGGGGGGAAUAUUGCACAAUGGGCGAAAGCCUGAUGCAGCAAUCCCGCGUGUAUGAAGAAGGCCUUAGGGUUGUAAAGUACUUUCAGCGGGGAGGCGUUACCCGCAGAAUAAGCACCGGCUAACUCCGUGCCAGCCGCCGCGGUAAUAC
rnacentral:rRNA from 1 species